rnacentral:lncRNA from 1 species
UUAUGAGCCCAAAGAAAUUAAAAAACAUGACUCACUCAAACUCCUUAAGUAAAUGCUAUGAAAGUGAUUAGCUUUAUCACAGUCCCACAGGGAGAUUUUGGAUUCAUGGAAAAAGCAGACAUCCCUGGAUUUAGUUGAUGUGCUUCUGGAAAGGAUGAAAAUGAAAGAAUUCAUAGUAACACAGGGAUUUUUGUGCACUUGGACUAACUCAAACCUGUCCUACCAAGGAAGAAGUAUUUUCUAGGUUUUGAAUGGUGCUCUCUUCAAGAAAACUUUCUUGUAACUAGCAGAGGAAUCUGGAACUACAGCAGAGACCACCAGCGAAGAGCAGCUGUCUUAUGGCACAGCAGGAAAUAGAACUCCAGGAAGGACAAGAGGAAGGCCAAGCAGAGGAUCUUUGACAUUUUGGAAUGUUUUCUAUGGGCUUACAAGUGGAUUUUACAUAUUACUAUUCCAGACCUAUCCUGGGAAUUACACUUGGAGAUUCAAUUGUGGAAGUUGCAUCAAAAGCUUCAAAAUGAUCCAUUUUCCAGACAGAAAAUAUGUCAACAAAGACAAUCAGGACAGUCAAGGCCAGUCCUGGGCACGAGAAGGUAAGAUCGGAAGUUGGAUCCCGGUAAAUGCUACCAAAGGAGCAAGAAGGAACAAGGAUGAGAUGCCCAGAAGACACUGAUCCCGAGUCCCUAGAAAAUACAGGAGGAGGGAAAACAACACUGGGAAGAGGGAGUCAGUAGUAGAAUAAGAAGAAAAUGCCCAGGACACUGAGCCAGUGAUUAAUGAUCAUGAGGACCUGGAGACAUGAAGAUGAGAAAUAGAUGUUGGAAUUUUCGCUAAGGAAACAAUAAUAAAUAGUUAUGUCCAAGUGGAUUUAAUGUAACA